rnacentral:rRNA from 1 species
UACGUAGGGGGCAAGCGUUGUCCGGAAUCAUUGGGCGUAAAGCGCGUGUAGGCGGCUUGGUAAGUCCGUUCUGAAAGCCCGGGGCUCAACCCCGGGAGGCGGAUGGAUACUGUCAAGCUUGAGUCCGGAAGAGGCGAGUGGAAUUCCCGGUGUAGCGGUGAAAUGCGCAGAUAUCGGGAGGAACACCAAUGGCGAAGGCAGCUCGCUGGGACGUGACUGACGCUGAGACGCGAAAGCGUGGGGAGCAAACGGG